CAGGGAUGGUGAUGCCCAACCAAUAAAUUGGCCAACUGACAGCAUACCCAGAUUUGCUGAAACAUUUCAGUAAAGGCGGAGGCAUUGAGCACAAUUACGGUUAUCGUACUGCCGA